UACGUAGGGUGCAAGCGUUAUCCGGAAUUAUUGGGCGUAAAGAGCUCGUAGGCGGUUUGUCGCGUCUGCUGUGAAAACUGGAGGCUCAACCUCCAGCCUGCAGUGGGUACGGGCAGACUAGAGUGCGGUAGGGGAGAUUGGAAUUCCUGGUGUAGCGGUGGAAUGCGCAGAUAUCAGGAGGAACACCAGCGGCGAAGGCGGCGCUCUGGGCCGGUACUGACGCUGAGGAGCGAAAGCGUGGGGAGCAAACAGG
rnacentral:rRNA from 1 species